AUUGAACGCUGGCGGCAGGCCUAACACAUGCAAGUCGAACGGUAACAGGAAGCAGCUUGCUGCUUCGCUGACGAGUGGCGGACGGGUGAGUAAUGUCUGGGAAACUGCCUGAUGGAGAGGGAUAACUACUGGAAACGGUAGCUAAUACCGCAUAACGUCGCAAGACCAAAGAGGGGGACCUUCGGGCCUCUUGCCAUCGGAUGUGCCCAGAUGGGAUUAGCUAGUAGGUGGGGUAACGGCUCACCUAGGCGACGAUCCCUAGCUGGUCUGAGAGGAUGACCAGCCACACUGGAACUGAGACACGGUCCAGACUCCUACGGGAGGCAGCAGUGGGGAGUAUUGCACAAUGGGCGCAAGCCUGAUGCAGCCAUGCCGCGUGUAUGAAGAAGGCCUUCGGGUUGUAAAGUACUUUCAGCGGGGAGGAAGGCGAUAAGGUUAAUAACCUUGUCGAUUGACGUUACCCGCAGAAGAAGCACCGGCUAACUCCGUGCCAGCCGCCGCAGUAA
rnacentral:rRNA from 1 species